GUGUGCGCCACCUCGGAGCACUCGCAGCCCGUCGGGCAGGAGGACGCUGGAGCUGCCGGUGCGUAAACGGAGCCCAGCAGGAGCAGGAGCAGGAGCAGGAGGGUGCUGCAGAAGAGGCGACUGGGGCUCAAGUCCAGCAUGUUGGGUUUUUCAAAAGUCUUUUCUCGGCAUAAAAAGGCCUCACUUUGUUUGCCGACAUUCCCUGGGGGAGGUCAUCGGAGGUUGAUGACAAGCGCCACUGUCACAAUGAGGCCCAGCAGCAUGAGGAAGGGCAGCCACGUCUUCAGGAAGCCCGCGCAGCUGGAAAGCAAAAGGACCCAAAGGAAGAUCAAUACAUCCCUCGACACUAACGCUGGUCGAAACACUUUCGAUUGUUUGCGCCUUUAGAACGGUGCUUUGUGUUGUUUUAUUUUUUUUGAGUUAUUCAAGUUUGCCUUUUUGAUUUAUCAGAAGUUACGCAGCACCACCGUGAGACGCCACGUUACCUGACGUGCUUUCCGUGCAGCAGCACCAGGAGGCAGAGCUUGACCAUGUUCCACGACGUGCUGUUGUCGUAGCGCAUCAGGUUGAGAGCCAUGGCCACGUGCGAAUGGCAGUUGUCACAACACAGGUUGUGCUUGAAAAAAACAUACCACCAAAAAAUGUUAUGCAAAUUUUGUACGUAUAAAUGAGUGGGCAAAGUCCGUACCAUCCUGUGCUUGUACUCCUCCGAAGCGUCGUGCACGGCAAUAUCCCAAGCGCUAGAGCCACUGGCAUAGACUUUGCUUACGUCCAGCAUCCAGUAUCUCCAACGACAAAUGAUAAUGUUGUGUAGAAGUCAGGUCAAGAGAGGGGAGGGGAAAAAAACAUCAGAUAAAACUCACUUUGUUGGUUUUCCAAAAGCCAUGUUGUCCUCCUGCAUGACAAAAGAAAAGCUUCCUUGGGUGGUGUACACACAUACAGUACCUAUAAUCAAAAUUGGAUUACUUACAGAUACAAAAUAGGGUCCAGCAAAGUCUCUGAUGACUCCAACUGAAGUGCAGAUGCCCAUGUGCCCAAUAAAUGGAAACAGCCAACUGGCAAGGCAAAAUAGUCACGUCAUUGAAUUAAUCAUGCAAUGAGAAACAUAAAAUGUAGUAUUUGAAUAAGUUGAUGGAAAAAAGCUGGGGGAAUAAACUAUGCAAACAUAACUAUUAUGCAUAAUACAACACAAACUUAAAUUCUGUAAUCUUUUGCAUGUAUAUGUUCAACUAUUUGAUGUUGCCUGGGUUUUGCACAACAAGGACAAUUAUCAGUGCUUUGUUUGCUCAUAUAAAAUAAGAAACGGGACGUUUGACAGCUAGCUUGCUAAACAAACGAAGCUGUCACUUGCGUUGCAGCACAUCCGGGGAACUUGCCCAAAGGAAGCCGACAACUUAACUCACGACAACACUGGGAUUGGGGUCCACACGAUACAAUGAGGGAAACGACCGGCCAGCGGGUUAAUCUUUUCCGACGCUAUGUGAUAGUUCUUCAUGGUUUCCGCCUUCUCGGUUAAAUCGGCCAUAGUUAUCUAUGGCAGGAAA